CACACCGCCCGUCACGCCAUGGGAGCCGGGAGUGCCCGAAGUCCGUGUGCUAACCGCAAGGAGGCAGCGGCCUAAGGCAAAGCUCGGUGACUGGGGCG
rnacentral:rRNA from 1 species